UACGUAGGGUGCAAGCGUUAUCCGGAAUUAUUGGGCGUAAAGAGCUCGUAGGCGGCCAGACAGGUCAGCUGUGAAAACUCGAGGCUCAACCUCGAGACGUCGGUUGAAACCGUCUGGCUAGAGUCCGGAAGAGGAGAGUGGAAUUCCCGGUGUAGCGGUGAAAUGCGCAGAUAUCGGGAAGAACACCCGUGGCGAAGGCGGCUCUCUGGGACGGUACUGACGCUGAGACGCGAAAGCGUGGGGAGCGAACAGG
rnacentral:rRNA from 1 species